CAGCAAACAUCAGAGCUCUCGCUGAAAGCAUUAAAUGUGUUUAUAGUCAGCGAGAGGAACAAAGUGUAAGCCCGGACUGCUUGCACACCUGCAAUGCAUGGGAAGAUGUUCUCUGUUGCUUCCAGACUCGUAGGCAGAGUGGGUUUCUCCAAGUCCGUCAGAACUUGUGUGUGAAGGAGUACCUCCCGCAGUAUGUCCUAAAAGCUCUAUGGCUAGCCUGAGAUGAAGGACUGGUGGCAACGGAGUGGGAGUGAUUUCCUUUCGUGAACCAGUGCUGAUCUGAAGUGGAAACUAUCGGGGGUUCAGGCUGUGGAGCUAGAGGUUUAAUCUUCUAGGGCUAAAUCAACGGAUCAGAGACCAGAGCCUGACCCUACUGUUCGUGCUGCUACCCUGCGAUGGGUGGCUGAGUUUGAAAAUAUCCCUUUAAUGCCUGGUAAAUGAAUGUCUACAUUGAACAAGCAAGCAAUGCCACGCUUGCCAGCCUUGAGAGAGAAGCUCGUGGGAUGAGUGGGCACAAGUUUCAAGUAAUCCCUCUCUCAAAAACAAUCUGUCUCGAGUCAAUGGUGAGCAGCGUCAGGAUGGGGUAAGCAAUCCGUGUUGCUGCUUCUGCUGCAUUGUUUGUGGAUAAACAAAGGCAUUUAGGUAACCAGACAUAUAAUUCCAGCCCUUUUUAAUAAGCCUCAGUUACACACACAGAGCAUCCUGAUGCAGGUAUGGAAGCUUGGAGCUUAGCUGGUUUGCUUGCCAGCUUUAAAUAUCAGUUAUGUUAUUUUGGAUACCAGUGGUGUUAGACUACAAGUCUAAUCUCUUCUUUGUCAGGGUCUCACUUUUUAUUUAGAUUUUAAAACUGUAUUCAAAUGAGGUUUUGACCGAAACUGAAUCACUAUGUACUUGAAAGCUAAAGAGCUUAUCAGGCAUCUGAUAAUGUUUUCAGGAUUUCCCCAGAUUAGACCGCGGAGUGUACAGACAGGAAGCUGAAGUAUUGAGCGCCUGACCAGAGCUUCCUCCAGUGCAGGAGUGGGGGUUUCUCUGACUUGAAUCUGUAGCUCUGCAUGCAUGGUCUGAGCCUUGAAGUCCAAAGGAUAAAAAGCACCCAAAUCUCCUAGCUGAGUCCUCCGAGCAUGGAGAAUGGAGCACUGCUCUUAAGGCCCGCUUGCAAGGUCAGCAAAACAGUUCUCACCUCUCCCUGCUGUUGCGUUACCUUCCUGGCUCUUUAUCAAGCAGGGAAUCAGAAAGGGACUUUCCAGAGCUAUAAACAUAUGAGCUGAAGAGAUGGGAUGAACCCUUAUGCAAAUGAGUCUUGAUUCCCUUCCCUUUAUAAAGUUAAAAUGUUUUUGAGAGAGCAACAGAUCAUCCAGAAUGUGGGUGUCCGAGGUUAUUGCCUUGGAGUGGCUGUAUCUCUCUCCUUGCUGUCUGUCUGCCUUUUUUUUCUGCCUGUCUGUCUUUCCAUUGUAGAGAACAAAGCGGAGUGAUGUAAAAUAGAAAAUGAGAAAUGCAAACCUGUGGUGAUUGAAGAAGAGGAAGGAAAAUGAAAGAGAAAAAGCUGAAGAGUGGGAAAAAGAUAAAAUAAAAUGAAUUUUGGGGAUUCCACUUGGAUGAACACAUGGCUAAUUGCCAGAGCCAAGAGUGCAGACCAUUAUGAGGACCAGCUAUAUUUCACGUUCAUCUGGGAGAAUGCUGAGAUUUUAUUUUCUGUGGGAAAUGGCGAUGAAAAAAUGAAUUGUUUUGAUGAUAAAAAUGUAUCCUUUUGUGUGUUUUUACUGGUCAGAUCGAACACAUUAUCCAGCUUUUCCCACAAUUACAAAAGAAAAGACAAAAGUAAUCUUUUAUUAUCAAAAUAGAUUUUGUGGAAGAAAUUUUUGAACAAAUUCCCUAGCGUCAUGAGCAAUGCUGCAGCUACUCUCUUUGCUGCAGUGUUUCAGGUAUCAGUCCUCCAUCUCAAUUUGCUUCAGGUGCUCAGAGCAGUUUUGUGUUGGACAGCAGAGCCCAGAGCUUCAGAGGAGCAGGAUGUGAGGACUGCUGGGACAGCAGAACAAGGCUGCAGUGGGCAUAUUUUGCCAGGACAGAGGUCUCAAAUGUGUCUGUGGUGGCCCAGAGCCUUCGUGGGGGGAUUCAUUAAGCAGAAGUCUGGAAAAUGGAGCUGCUAAAAACUGUUUCAAAGCUGCAUAUGGGAUUAGGAGGCUUUGAUCAUGCUGGAUAUCCAAGACUCCACUGGCAACUGGAGCGAUCGCAUGUAAAGUCUGUGUACACAUCAAAGAAUGUCUUUACUUUUCACUGUAAUCCUUUGUAGUAGUCAACAUACUUGACUAAAUAUUCGAGAGAUGAUUAUGCUGAAUCUGAAUGGCACCUAAAAUUAUUUUCUUUAAAACCAGCUCUGGUGAGCUCAAGGGGAGCCAGCCUUAAAAUUCUGGUGAGCCGGCAAGCAUAUCCCAGAGGAGGGCAGCUUGGCUCCCCAGAGGCUGUCUGUAUCAGUGGUUCUCAGCCUUUUCUAAGGGAGCCUUUCUGAAAAAAACACUCCUGGACCAUUUCCCAUGGCCAACAAGGAGCCGUCUGCACCUGCAGGCAGUCAGUGGCAGCAUCCAGAAACCGGCUCCCGGCUCUGUCUGCCAGCACUGGUGCCUCUGCCAGCAGGCUGGGAAUAGAUGUGUUUUUUAUUUAUUUUUUUUUAAUCUUCUAAAUGAGCUCGUUCACAGAGCAGUUCCUGGUGUCUGACAGAAAGCGGUGGUCUGCAGCCCACAGGCUGCUUAACAGAUCUACCUAGCUCGCAGUGGCUAGGGUGCCUUCACCGGGUGGUCAUGCAGUGCUCUCAGGCGAUUUUAUUAACUCUUGUGCACCUUUCUCUGAAAUAACUGUUGCCAGUUUCCCCAGUAGUUGAGCUGUUUCAUUAUUCUAAUAUUAUACUAGUUGAUUUCAGUGAAUUAAUAUCAAAAUGGGCUAUGAAUGAAUUGAAAGCAUGUUUCCUCUUCAUAGACUACUUUAUUUUCGGUAACUAUGGUAUAGUUACAAUAGGAAAUAUAAAUACAGCAAUCUUUUAUAUUUCAAGCAUUUAUAUGUUGAACCUGUUUUAAGCAAAAAUUAUCUCUGGCCUCUAAUGGAUUGCUAACAUUAUAAUUAUUUAUUAUAAUGUGCUUUUCCGAAUAAAAUUCUUGCUGGAUGAUCAUCACAUUCCUUUUUGAAAUAAUGGGAGGGUUACUAAAAAGUUGAUUAAUGCUUGCCUGUUUUUUGACUGUUUGUACAGAGCCUAAUCAUUUUGGGUUAGUAAUAUAUAGCAUAGUAGUUAUGCAGUGACAAAGAUCUGUGCAAUUUCAACGGUUGAAUCAUUGCCAGUUCUUUUUAUUAAAAAUGUGGCAACUGGAAGGAAGCGAGCAAUGGCCAUCUACUCUUUCCUGUUUACUUUUUCCCCUCUUCCUAUAUUUUUGGAUGUUUACAUGACGUCUGAAGUGUAUGGCUUGACCAGUCAUUUCAAGCUCUCGGUUCCACUACAUUUAUCAGGAAUUGGUUCAGCAGAGCAGUUCAUAGUACCACCCUGCAUUUUCACGUGUUGGGAGACAGCAUGUGUGUCACUUCCAGUGUCUGCGACGUGUGUGUGCAGUGGUCAGAUAUCCGAACUGAGGAAGAAAGUGUUGCUGGAUUUGGGAACAACUCCACAUUCAAAGAGAGCAGCUCCAUGGGCAGUGUGAAUGAUGGAAGAAAACCCGGCCAGUGUAGAAAAGGCCUGAUUGCUGUGGUGCCUGUCCUGUAACCUGAGAGGAGCCCAGCACAUCGUGCACCUCCUAUGAAGCAGGCAUGUGGGGAAGAAAUCAGAAUUACCACGGGAAGCAGGGAGUCAGGGGAUGCUUCCUCUACGUGAAAGUUCAGGGGUUGAAGAGUUUCUAUGUGUCUGCCUGAAAUAUACUAUGCUCACCAGUCAUGAGAUGAUGGUUCUUGGAAAAGCUUACCAGCUCCUGCUGGGACAAUAUCCAUUAAACAAGCAGAGGGAGAAACGCACAAAGAAAAGGAGAAUUUUGAAGUCUCAUUUCUGCCAUCUUCCCUGUCAGGAAGAGGAAAUGAAAUUGGAGGUCACAGUUAGCAGAAUCUGCAAAAGAUGAGAGAGCGAGGCAGCAGCUGCACAGAACUCAAAGCAGGCAGCGUGGUGGACGUUAGGCAGCUGCAGGCACAAAACUGCAUCGGCUUCCCCCGCUGCAAAGCCCAGCCUCCAGGCAGUGAUGCAGCAGAGACGAUGUGUAUGUGAUGGCAACCUCGCAAGGCCCCUGCUGAAAUCAAGAUGGUCUUUGGUACAGGAGUUUUGCAGUUCUCUCUCUCCAAGGGCAGUCCUCAAAACACAGUGUUUGAAGCUGCUGGUUUGCUGCUGGAAGACACCUGAGGUGGACAGGCACGCUCCUCAGUUUGGUCCAUUAUGCAGACUUGUGUUUCGGCACCUUUUUUUCAUACCACCGGGCAUAUUCCUGACCCACACAGUGAAAUGUGCUUUUUUUGGAAAUGUCUCACAAUAGGUAAUGAUGAGCCAGCUGAGGAGGUGUUCUCAAGGUAUUCAAACAGGAUUUUUGUGUUUCUUUAUACUAAUCUGUAUAAGAAGAGUUGAAUCGAUCACGUCUCACAAUGCAUCUAAGAGAAAACAUCCAAGAGAUGGGAAAUGUUCAACACCCUGCAGCUCUCCCACUCUGCAUUUCAGGUGACUGGCAUUGUCUCCAUGCUCCUCCCUGCACAAUGAGCAUCCAGUGUCUGAUCCACAUGCCACAUCUAUUGCUGUUAUCAGAAGAGAUGGGACCAGGACACUGACGAAUAUAUGCCUAUUAGAUAGGUAGGGCUCUAGAUGGGGAAUUGCAUGACUGUGAAAGAGAUUAAAUGAUGAAACUUUGCAGUCCAUUGACUGUACUAAAGCAACCAUGCUUUGCUUGGGGUUGUGAAGUGCUAAUGGAGGCUGAAAAAGCUGCCAAAGGGUCUGAAAUUAUAUCUGUAUUGUGAGGAGAAACUUCUGGUUCUAUAAGAAAUCAGAAGGAUCAAAAAAAAAAAAAAAAAAAAAAGGGUGCAUUCUUAAGGAAUCAUCUACUCCUCUAGACCAUGCAAUAUGCUCCAAGGCAUUAACAGACACAAAGGCGAUGCAGGGCUUGGGUUUGGGGCUGGAUCUAGGCUUUAGCAGUUCUGCGAUGUACCAUUUCCUUGUCUCAGUACACCUACAUCUCACAGGAGUUGCACAGCCCUGCGUGUGUGGAGGUGAACUCAAAGGGAUGAGCUGUGUGCGCUCAGCCCUGCUGAGCACCAACAGGGUCUGUUACAGACCAGCACAACACAGAAGAGGCUGGAGGCACAGGGCCGCAGGGAUGUCAUCCAGUCACAUCCAUCCUCUCUUCCACUGGAUCUUGUGCUAAGAAUAACUUGGCCAGCCCUGAGGAUUAAAGCUCUUUGCAUUUUCUGGAAAUUGCCAUGUGCAGCAUGUAGGCAUACGGGACCUCAUUGCCCUGUCAUCCGUAUGCUGUGGGUAUGGCAGGAUUAAUGCCAAACUGGGGAUUAAAAUAGCACUAACACCAUCUACUUUGGGACACCGUACUGAAGUGAAGCAGUCAUACAACGAGCCAAAUAUUUCUGGCUUAAGAGAAAAUAUUUUGAUUCACAAAGAUGC